rnacentral:rRNA from 1 species
AUUGAACGCUGGCGGAAUGCUUUACACAUGCAAGUCGAGCGGCAGCGCGGGGCAACCUGGCGGCGAGCGGCGAACGGGUAAGUAAUACAUCGGAACGUACCCAGUUGUGGGGGAUAGCCCGGCGAAAGCCGGAUUAAUACCGCAUACGACCUGAGGGUGAAAGGGGGGGAGUCGCAAGACCUCUCGCAGUUGGAGCGGCCGAUGGCGGAUUAGCUAGUUGGUAGGGUAAAGGCCUACCAAGGCAACGAUCUGUAGUUGGUCUGAGAGGACGACCAGCCACACUGGGACUGAGACACGGCCCAGACUCCUACGGGAGGCAGCAGUGGGGAAUUUUGGACAAUGGGCGCAAGCCUGAUCCAGCAAUGCCGCGUGCAGGAAGAAGG